rnacentral:rRNA from 1 species
GAUGAACGCUGGCGGCGUGCCUAAUACAUGCAAGUCGAGCGAACGGACGAUAAGCUCGCUCUCUUGCUGUUAGCGGCGGACGGGCGAGUAACAAGUGGAUCACCUUCUUCUUUGUCUGGGAUAACUUCGGAAAACCGGUGCUACUACUAGCUCAUACUUUGUACGGCUUGGUUCAAAAGUUCUUGACGCUUUUGCCGACUCUUAUAGCUGGAUCCGCGCUGCAUUAGCUAGUUGGUAAGGUAACGGCUUACCAAGGCGACGAUGCGUAGCCGACCUGAGAGGAUGAUCAGCCACACUGGAACUGAGACACGGUCCAGACUCCUACGGGAGGCAGCAGUGGGGAAUCUUCGGCAAUGGGCGAAAGCCUGACCCAGCAACACCGCGUGAGUGAUGAAGGCCUUCGGAUUGUAAAGCUCUUUUGUUGGGAAAGAACAGCUGUGGAUGUAUAUCUGCACGUCUUGACGGUACCUAAUGAAUAAGCCACGGCUAACUACGUG